rnacentral:rRNA from 1 species
UACGGGGGGAGCAAGCGUUGUUCGGAUUUACUGGGCGUAAAGGGCGCGUAGGCGGCGCAACAAGUCACUUGUGAAAUCUCCGGGCUUAACCCGGAGCGGCCAAGUGAUACUGUCGUGCUAGAGUGCGGAAGGGGCUACUGGAAUUCUCGGUGUAGCGGUGAAAUGCGUAGAUAUCGAGAGGAACACCAAUGGCGAAGGCAGCUCUCUGGUACGUGACUGACACUGAGACGCGAAAGCGUGGGGAGCGAACAGG